GUAGGUGGCAAGCGUUGUCCGGAAUUAUUGGGCGUAAAGCGCGCGCAGGCGGUCCUUUAAGUCUGAUGUGAAAGCCCACGGCUCAACCGUGGAGGGUCAUUGGAAACUGGGGGACUUGAGUACAGAAGAGGAAAGCGGAAUUCCAAGUGUAGCGGUGAAAUGCGUAGAGAUUUGGAGGAACACCAGUGGCGGAGGCGGCUUUCUGGUCUGUAACUGACGCUGAGGCGCGAAAGCGUGGGGAGCAAACAGGGAUUAGAUACCCUGGUAGUCCACGCCGUAAACGAUGAGUGCUAAGUGUUAGGGGGUUUCCCGCCCCUUAGUGCUGCAGCUAACGCAUUAAGCACUCCGCCUGGGGAUACGGCCGCAAGGCUG
rnacentral:rRNA from 1 species